rnacentral:rRNA from 1 species
AGUGAACGCUGGCGGUAGGCCUAACACAUGCAAGUCGAACGGCAGCACAGUAAGAGCUUGCUCUUACGGGUGGCGAGUGGCGGACGGGUGAGGAAUACAUCGGAAUCUACUUUUUCGUGGGGGAUAACGUAGGGAAACUUACGCUAAUACCGCAUACGACCUACGGGUGAAAGCAGGGGAUCUUCGGACCUUGCGCGAUUGAAUGAGCCGAUGUCGGAUUAGCUAGUUGGCGGGGUAAAGGCCCACCAAGGCGACGAUCCGUAGCUGGUCUGAGAGGAUGAACACCAACAGAGGAAUGAGGAAACGGACCGCAGUCAGACGGGUAGAGGAAGGGGAAAAUAGAGAUAGGUGGGCGGAAGCAUGAGCCAGCAAAACCGUGGGGAUGAAGGAUGCAUUCGGGUUGUAAAGCUCUGUUGUGGAGAAAGAAAACCGGCAGAAUAACACCCCGGUGUUAUGAAGCAAACCAAAGAAUAAGCACCGACCAACGUCGUGCCAGCAGACGCCGUAAUAGUCGGAAGCGAACACGUCGGAAC